AGGCAUGUGCACACCCUGCUCAUCCACUCUACACCUGUGCACUCAUUGUAGGUUGGCGUGGGCUUUGAACCUCCGGGUUUGAGGCAUUCUGCUGGCCUAUGUAACACUACAAACUCUUAAAGUAACAGAAUGUAAACGCGUCUAACGCAUCCUUAUACAACUUUCAGCAACGGAUCUCUUGGCUCUCGCAUCGAUGAAGAACGCAGCGAAAUGCGAUAAGUAAUGUGAAUUGCAGAAUUCAGUGAAUCAUCGAAUCUUUGAACGCACCUUGCGCUCCUUGGUAUUCCGAGGAGCAUGCCUGUUUGAGUGUCAUGGAAUUCUCAACCCAUAAAUCCUUGUGGUAUAUGGGCUUGGACUUGGAGGUUUUGCCGGCUCUAGUCAGUCGGCUCCUCUCAAAUGCAUUAGCUUGAUUCUGUGCGGAUCGGCUCUCAGUGUGAUAAUUGUCUACGCUGUGACCGUGAAGUGUUUGGCGAGCUUCCAACCGUCCUUCAAGGACAAUAUUUUGACAUCUGACCUCAAAUCAGGUAG
rnacentral:rRNA from 1 species